CUCCUCUCAGGGUGGCACUUAGAGAAUUUCCAGUAUUCUACCAGUCUCGGCUAUGGGAGGGAGAGUCAAGCAGAGGCUCCAUUCCAUUCCUAGCUUGGAGAGUGGCUAGUGAGUGGAAGGCAAUCUGCUACAAGU
rfam:Ornithorhynchus anatinus chromosome 7, whole genome shotgun sequence.